rnacentral:rRNA from 1 species
UACGUAGGCAGCAAGCGUUGUUCGGAGUUACUGGGCGUAAAGAGUGCGUAGGUGGUGCCCUAAGUCUGUUGUGAAAUCUCCCGGCUUAACUGGGAGGGUGCGGUGGAAACUGGGGUGCUUGAGUGUGGGAGAGGUAAGCGGAAUUCCUGGUGUAGCGGUGAAAUGCGUAGAUAUCAGGAGGAACACCGGUGGCGAAGGCGGCCCCCUGGACCGGAACUGACGCUGAGGCGCGAAAGCGUGGGUACAGCAACGG